rnacentral:rRNA from 1 species
AGUGAACGCUGGCGGCGUGCCUAAUACAUGCAAGUCGAACGGAGUGGCGCACGGGUGAGUAAUAUAUAGCUAAUCUGCCCCUUGCUGGAGGACAACAGUUAGAAAUGACUGCUAAUACUCCAUAGCAAGGGAUGAGACUAUAUCGUAUCAGCUAGUCGGUGGGGUAACGGCCUACCGAGGCUAUGACGCGUAACUGGUCUGAGAGGAUGAUCAGUCACAUUGGAACUGAGACACGGUCCGAGAUCCUACGGGAGGCGGCAGUAGGGUGUAGUACGCAAUGGGGGGAACCCUAACACGGCAGCGCCGCGUAGAGGAUGACAAUUUUCGAAGAGUGAGCUCAGUUUGAUAGGGAAACGGUACCUGACGAAUAAGCACCGGCUAACUCCGUGCCAGCCGCCGCGGUAAUUC